UUAAAUCUUGUUGACUAGAUCAAGUGAUCAACUACGCAUCACAUUAAUAAAGGAUGAGAUCAGAGAUCAUAAACUAACCAGAUUCACUAAUAAGCCUUUGGGAACAGAAUCUACACAGUCUGACUCUUAAUUCCAGAUUAACCCUUUAUAUUAGGUAUUUGAUUUACUACCGUUCUGGUUUUACCCGAAGAUUAUUUUUGUGCAACUACUUUUUGAUGACUGCACAUUAAAUUUUUUGACAGUUCUUCCUAGGGGAUUACUGCCCCCUUAUUCAAGACACAGGGGAAUGUUGUCGAUCAGGUUAGUUGUUCAUUCCUUGUCAAUAUUUAUUGUGCUUGUUAAGAUCACAUCUUCAUACUUCAAUGCAUGUGCUCCAUAUUUAUGUGCGCCGCAAAAAGGAAUCAACAAGUAUUUUUAGGUAUAAAAAUUCAAUAUAAAAAAAGAGAGAACUUUGGGUGAUAUGCAUCUUCAAUUGGGAGCUUACGAGAAAAUAAAAAUGAAGCUAGAAAAUUGCCAAAGUAUGGAAAGAUUCUGGAUAUAGGCCACAGUAACUUAUGAAGAGAGAAGUCUGCUAAACUUAUGUGUAGUCUAAGUUUCAUUUAUUCUCCCUUCAUCCUAAAUUAGGUGACCUCAAGAACACAAUUGUUAUAACCAAUCAUCAAGGGUAAAGUCAGUAUAACAUUACUUGACAAUUGAGAUCAAUUUUACACUUUUAGACUACUUAGUUUAGUUAGAUCAUUGGUUUCCCUUGUUCUUCUUGUUGUCAAUUGAGAUCAAUUUGCUUCAUUUUCCUGACUUGCUAUUAUUUUUAAAUAUGUGUAGGAAGACUGCUUCUACGACUUGCCUUACAAUACUGGGUAUCAAAUUUCCGUGCUACGUUUACGGAAGACAAGGGACGAAAUUAUGAAGUGUACUCUCUCUAUAUAUGUAGAUAUAUACUUUGAUUGAAGAACUGUGGUAGCUUUAGAAGGUUAAUUGUAAAGAUAAUGAAUGAUUAUGUAGUGGAUGAUUUUA
rnacentral:lncRNA from 1 species